UUUCCGUAGGUCAACCUGCGGAAGGAUCAUUAAAGUUAUAGUCCCCCGGCCCCUCCGGGCUGGGGUCUUCUAUACCACCCUUUGUUUAUUACACCUUUGUUGCUUUGGCAGGCCUGCCCUCGGGCUGCUGGCUCCGGCCGGCUCGUGCCUGCCAGAGGACUUAAACUCUGUUUGUAUAUGAAGUCUGAGUACUAUAUAAUAGUUAAAACUUUCAACAACGGAUCUCUUGGUUCUG
rnacentral:misc_RNA from 1 species